AUGAACGAUUUUUUUGGGGAAUGCCCAUACUGCACCCAGCUGAUAUCAUGCAAAGUACCAUCUUAAAAUUUAUGAAGAUAGAUGUAGCAGAUUAUUACCAUAGUCACAAGAAAGCUCUAAACACAAAUGAGUUAUACAGCUUCAAACUGCAGGGAAAAAGGCUUGUGAAGGGGGAGGUAUGCACAAAGGGGUUAAGUCAGAGUUGGAGAGGUAGCAAACUAAUGUUAUUUCUUUAUAUUUCGUGGAGCUUGUGUUUCUUUGUGAUGAUUACAGCAGAGAGGUUGUGAUGAACUUCAUGGUUCAUGGUAUUAACAGUAAUGACACUGUAGUUAAUGCAAUUUAAAAUACAUUUAUUUCAAUUA